rnacentral:rRNA from 1 species
GACGAACGCUGGCGGCGUGCCUAAUACAUGCAAGUCGAGCGCAGGAAGCCGUCUGAACCCUUCGGGGGGACGACGGUGGAAUGAGCGGCGGACGGGUGAGUAACACGUAAAGAACCUGCCCACGGGUCUGGGAUAACCACGAGAAAUCGGGGCUAAUACCGGACGGGUCAUCGGACCGCAUGGUCCGAGGAUGAAAGGCGCUCCGGCGUCGCCCGUGGAUGGCUUUGCGGUGCAUUAGCUAGUUGGUGGGGUAACGGCCCACCAAGGCGACGAUGCAUAGCCGACCUGAGAGGGUGAUCGGCCACACUGGGACUGAGACACGGCCCAGACUCCUACGGGAGGCAGCAGUAGGGAAUCUUCCACAAUGGACGAAAGUCUGAUGGAGCAACGCCGCGUGAACGAUGAAGGCCCUCGGGUCGUAAAGUUCUGUUGUAGGGGAAGAACAAGUGCCGCAGGCAAUGGCGGCACCUUGACGGUACCUUGCGAGAAAGCCACGGCUAACUACGUGCCAGCAGCCGCCGCAGUAA